GAUCAUUACUGAAGAAAUGCGUAGUUAGUUGAGCUGACUCCCUUAGGAGUAUGUGCUCGCUAUAUCGCUUUUUCUAACUCUCCACUGUGCACCCUAUUGUAGGCUAUGAUAAGGUUUAGAAGGCUUUAUGCAUUCAUUCAUUUUGUUUGUUUUGCUUGCUUUCAACUUUGUAGCCUAUGUCUUACACAAACUCUUUGAUAGUCUUAUGAAUGUGUGUAUCCAAAUUGGUCUUUGAUCAAUACAAGUCAUAUAUACAACUUUCAGCAACGGAUCUCUUGGCUCUCGCAUCGAUGAAGAACGCAGCGAAAUGCGAUAAGUAAUGUGAAUUGCAGAAUUCAGUGAAUCAUCGAAUCUUUGAACGCACCUUGCACUCCUUGGGUAUUCCGAGGAGUAUGCCUGUUUGAGUGUCAUUAUAUUCUCAAAAACCUAGCUGUUCUCUGAAUGACUAGGCUUUUUGGAUGUGAGGGAUUGCUGGCUUUCUAUCGAGUCUGGCUCCCUUCAAAUGCAUUAGUGGUUGCUUCAUUCACUAGAGUGUGAUAGUAUAUCUACGCUUGUUACAGUGAACUGAAUAUAUAAGUCAUCUGCUUUCCAACUGUCUUGAAACAUAACAGACAUAUUUUGACUAUUUGACCUCAAAUCAGGUAGGACUACCCGCUGAACUUAAGCAUAUCAAUAAGCGGAGGAAAAGAAACUAACAAGGAUUCCCCUAGUAACUGCGAGUGAAGCGGGAAGAGCUCAAAUUUAAAAUCUGGCAGUCUCUGGCUGUCCGAGUUGUAAUUUAGAGAAGUGUUGCCCGCGCUGGACCCGUAUACAAGUCCUCUGGAAUGGGGUGUCAUAGAGGGUGAGAAUCCCGUCUUUGAUACGGACUACCAGUGCUUUGUGGUGCGCUCUCGAAGAGUCGAGUUGUUUGGGAAUGCAGCUCAAAAUGGGUGGUAAAUUCCAUCUAAAGCUAAAUACAGGCGAGAGACCGAUAGCGAACAAGUACCGUGAGGGAAAGAUGAAAAGAACUUUGGAAAGAGAGUUAAACAGUACGUGAAAUUGCUGAAAGGGAAACGCUUGAAGUCAGUCGCGUUGUUCAAGAAUCAGCCUUGCUUUCUUGCUUGGUGUACUUUUUGUUCAAUGGGUCAACAUCAGUUUUGACCACUGGAUAAGGGCCAGGGAAAUGUGGCAUCUUUAGAUGUGUUAUAGUCUCUGGUCAUAUACAGUGGUUGGGACUGAGGAACUCAGCAUGCCRAAAGGACGGGUCUUUAAGACUACGUUACAUGCUUAGGAUGUUGGCAUAAUGGCUUUAAUCGACCCGUCU
rnacentral:misc_RNA from 1 species